GAUGAAGAACGUAGUGAAAUGCGAUAAGUAAUGCGAAUUGCAGAAUUCAGUGAAUCAUCGAAUCUUUGAACGCACAUUGCGCCCGCCAGUAUUCUGGCGGGCAUGCCUGUCUGAGCGUCGUUUCGACCCUCGCGCCCGGCUUCUGUCGGGGGCGGUGUUGGGGAUCGGCCACACCCUUCAGUGGGAGGCCGGCCCCUAAAUUCAGUGGCGACCACGCUGUAGCCUCCCCUGCGUAGUACUAAAACCACCUCGCAGGCGGAGAGCGGUGCGGCCCGCCGUAAAACCCCCCAACUUUUACAAGGUCGACCUCAGAUCAGGUAGGAAUACCCGCUGAACUUAAGCAUAUCAAUAAGCGGAGGA
rnacentral:misc_RNA from 1 species